UCUUGUUUCAGUCAAGCAUUGAUAAUGAUAUGUUUGCUCAACGCACCAAGGAGACUGUUGGCAUUAAGGAAGCUAAGACAUGAGAGAUUAUUUACUACACUGGCUUCUGCUGCAGACAGCAACAAUUCUUCACACCCUCUGCCUGUGCCCAAGGAAGUCGAGAAUCGAAUAAAGACACUGUGUUCAAGAUAUUCUCCCUGUCGGACUAGUUUUCAGCUUCAGUUUAAUGACUAUAUCAAACUAAAGAAUAGAAUAAAGACCUCGCGAUAUUUUGCAUUACUAGGAGGCUAUGUUUUUGGGUGCUUUACGUUUGCAUCAAAUAGUAUGUGGUUUUUUCCUUGGCUGAUGUCAGACUCUCCUCUCACAAUUAUGGGAAUGGAAGGAAUUGAUCCAAUGAUCAUUGGAACCUGUAUGACAUUUGCAUCUGGUAUUACCUGUGUUAUCAUAACUGCAUUCGGAUAUCGUAAUUUUCAUCUUAGAGUUAUGGGCUCUGAAACAAAGGCAAACUUUCAUCAGAGAGAAGACGAUUUUCAGCGUCGGUUGAACUUAUACAGAUGUACAGACUCAGUAGAGGUGGGGUUUAGUGAUGAUUAUUAUGGAGAUAAAAUCAAGGACCUGACAGACUACAGAUACUGGGUCCGGGUACAGCAGAUUAAACUUGAGAACUCUCAGAGAGCUAAAGAAAUGGCUCAGAAGUCAGAUGAGGGGUAGUUUAGAGUGAACUGUAGGGUGAAAUUUAGAGAAGCUAACGUUUGUUAAUUUAUUUUAAUCGUGCGGGGUGAGACUGAAAUGUCUCAUGUGAAAUUUGUUUACCCGAGUGGAUAAUCGUUUUUCUAAUAUGCUGACUAUGCUAUGUUUGUAUGAAAUAUUAUUCACGAGUAAUAUAGAUAUAUGUGAAGAUAUAUUUCUGGAUAAUUAUGUUCAUUAUAUGAAUUAUUCUAUUGAUCCUAUACUAAUUUAUUGCCAUAUAUUUAUAUCUUUUCGCUCUAUAAUCUUCAAUCUUGUUUGUAGUUGGGUGGGAUAAUAGCAAAUAAAUAGAUGAAUUUUAUCAUUCAGUUUAUUUUAUCAAGUUGUUAUUCACAGCACAGUUAUUCUGUUAUAGCUUU